CAAAAAGUAGUUUAUAAAAAUUUAAACUUUGGAAGUUUAAGAUGUGGGAUCCACCUUUUUGA
rnacentral:tRNA from 1 species